ensembl:lncRNA
AACAACUCAGUGCCUCCUAUUGGAGUGACAUAUAACGGGUCCAUCAGGCUUUGGGGUUGCUCUUUCUUUUGAUAUCCAUAUAUAAUUCUUAGAACUACAGAAGGGUCAGCCACAGGAUGCUUCCCCUGGGGGAGAGCCAGUCACCUCUCUCCUCAAACCCCUGGUCCAGGAUCCUCCCAAUCAGUCCUGACCCUCUUGUCCACUCUUUACAACCCUUUAUCCUUUGUACACUCACUGUUCUUGCCUCUUCUAUCAGUCACUGUCAACAGAAGUCCAUGUUGCAUGGACUAACGCUGAAGGUGUGGAAAAUUUGGAAAGGAAUUAUUCAGUACAUCAUAAAAUCUAACUCAGCUGUCACUGCUGCUAAUGUCCAUUUGUAAGGAAUCCUUACCUGGCCAAGUUCCUGGGCAUACCCUCAGAAUGGAGUCCCAGCUACCACUUCUUCCUCACCCACCAAAAGAAAACUCAAUCUUCCUCAAUAUUAUGAAAAAGAAAACAACCCAUCAAAACUCUACAGUAAUUCAGCCAUCUUGAAGUACAGCGUUAACCUGCCUGUGUAUGCUGCUGAGAAAAGCUCCCCUGUCCCAUGUCUCGUUUUAUUGCACAUCAGAAAGCCACCCUCAGCCGGUGGUUCAGAUUUGGAGCUGGUAACACAAAGCCGCAUCAGACUUCCCCACCCUGGCUCUGCACCAAGGCCUCGGAGGAUUUCUUGUCACAUGAGGUUAGUGGAGUUUCACAUCCUCUAAAGCAAGUCUCUGUUGAAACUCUCGAGUCUCACAUGGCUUCAGCUCAAAACAACCACCCCACUUAGCUGCUCCCGAACUGUUUCAAGCAUCGAAUCAAGAGACUUGGGUUCUUGUUCAGCUUAGUCUACAUAACCCUGAGCAAUCACUGGUCCUCUAUUACUUCAUAUGGAAAAUUAAGGGCCAGUACAGCUGUCAUUAGGGUCCCUUUCAACUCUUCCCUAAAAAAAAUACCUUCGUUUUCCCUUUUCCCCUACUACUUUCUAAAUAUUUGCUAACCUGAUUCUCUGAAAAUGUGAAAAUGAAUAGAGAUUUUUUUUUAGCUUAAAAAAUAAAUGGAU